GACGAACGCUGGCGGCGUGCUUAACACAUGCAAGUCGAACGGAAAGGCCCUGCUUUUGUGGGGUGCUCGAGUGGCGAACGGGUGAGUAACACGUGAGUAACCUGCCCUUGACUUUGGGAUAACUUCAGGAAACUGGGGCUAAUACCGGAUAGGAGCUCCUGCUGCAUGGUGGGGGUUGGAAAGUUUCGGCGGUUGGGGAUGGACUCGCGGCUUAUCAGCUUGUUGGUGGGGUAGUGGCUUACCAAGGCUUUGACGGGUAGCCGGCCUGAGAGGGUGACCGGCCACAUUGGGACUGAGAUGCAGCCCAGACUCCUGCGGGAGGCAGCAGUGGGGAAUAUUACACAAUGGGCGGAAGCCUGAUGCAGCAACGCCGCGUGCGGGAUGACGGCCUUCGGAUUGUAAGCCGCUUUCGCCUGUGACGAAGCGUGAGUGACGGUAAUGGGUAAAGAAGCACCGGCUAACUACGUG
rnacentral:rRNA from 1 species